rnacentral:misc_RNA from 1 species
GCUAUCAUUAUUCAAAGACAUUUGGGGGUCAGUCGAAGCCUGUAGCCGUCCUCUCUCGGGCGUGACGGGCGACCGACAUCCUCCUCUUGAGAGACGCAUGUCACAGUGCGGCCCCGGCAGAAUCAGCUCCGGGUUCCCCGCGUCUGCGGCGGACCGUCUCUUGGGAAACUCAGUGGGGGCAAUUGGAUGGUUUGCGGGCGAUCCCUGCGCGGAGGCGUUGAAGCUGCCCCGGGGAGAACCCCAAGCCGGGUGCUCGGACCUCGAGCCGGCACCCCAACCGUUUGACAAUUCUUCCCACUCCCUCGGAGUGUUCGGGGCCCUACCUCUGUGUCCAACGGAGGAGGGCCUCGGUCAAGAUAGUUACCUGGUUGAUUCUGCCAGUAGUCAUAUGCUUGUCUCAAAGAU